UACGGGGGGGGGCAAGCGUUGUUCGGAAUUACUGGGCGUAAAGGGCUCGUAGGCGGCCAACUAAGUCGGACGUGAAAUCCCCAGGCUCAACCUGGGAACUGCGUCUGAUACUGGAUGGCUUGAAUCCGGGAGAGGGAUGCGGAAUUCCAGGUGUAGCGGUGAAAUGCGUAGAUAUCUGGAGGAACACCGGUGGCGAAGGCGGCAUCCUGGACCGGCAUGACGCUGAGGCGCGAAAGCCAGGGGAGCAAAGCGGG
rnacentral:rRNA from 1 species